GUCUACGGCCAUGCCGCCCUGAACGUCUCUGAUCUCGGAAGCUAAGCAAGGUUGGGUCUGGUUAAAUCUUGUAUGGGAGACCGCCUAGGAACACCAGGUGCUGUAGGUG
rnacentral:rRNA from 1 species